CACGUAGGGGGCAAGCGUUGUCCGGAUUUAUUGGGCGUAAAGAGCUCGUAGGUGGCUUAGUAAGUCGGGUGUGAAACCUCCAGGCUCAACCUGGAGACGCCACCCGAUACUGCUAUAGCUUGAGUCCGGUAGGGGAGCGUGGAAUUCCUGGUGUAGCGGUGAAAUGCGCAGAUAUCAGGAGGAACACCAACGGCGAAGGCAGCACUCUGGGCCGGUACUGACGCUGAGACGCGAAAGCGUGGGGAGCAAACAGG
rnacentral:rRNA from 1 species